UCCCCUUAUUUUGUAAGCCAGUGGAUUAGAGAGAAGAAGAUUGCUUCUUUCCCCACUUUUUAACAAAGAGAGGUAAAAGACAUGCCAAAAUGAAGGCACUGUACUUUGGUAAAGGUGUUUUAAUAAAAAAAGAGCAUGCACAAACAGUCUAGGGUUAUAAAAGUAAUGUAUAGUGACAAAAAAAAGUUUUUUUCCCCUAGGUUUUAGACUAGCACUGCUUAUUUUUUAGUAAAAACUGUGAAGCUGCAGCAGAGCCCUGUUCUGCUCUUAUCUAAACAACCAGGACCCUGUAACAAAA